rnacentral:rRNA from 1 species
CUUUAUUGGAGAGUUUGAUCCUGGCUCAGGAUGAACGCUGGCGGCGUGCCUAAUACAUGCAAGUCGAGCGAAUGGAUUAAGAGCUUGCUCUUAUGAAGUUAGCGGCGGACGGGUGAGUAACACGUGGGUAACCUACCCAUAAGACUGGGAUAACUCCGGGAAACCGGGGCUAAUACCGGAUAAUAUUUUGAACUGCAUAGUUCGAAAUUGAAAGGCGGCUUCGGCUGUCACUUAUGGAUGGA